AUUGUUUCGAACGACAGCUUUUUUCUUUGCAGAAGAGUUGACGGAUCGGUAGUGAGGGUCUUUGCCAUUUACCGUGGCUCCCUCGAAAUACAUUAGCGCAUCCAUUUGAUAGGCAAGACGGACGAAAGCUCGAUUUUUCGCCCCCUCUUCCCUGCCGGGUUUUGAUAAUAUCAGGACUUCGGAGAGCGGAGAGAAGGGUGUGAGCUGGACGCGACGUUUUGCUGGUUGGAGUGCUUCUGAACCCCGCCCAUGCCUUUCGCAAGAAAGGAAGGGAUUUUUUCAAUU
rnacentral:misc_RNA from 1 species